AGGAAGUCAUCUAUUGAAGCGUGGGAAAACAGCACAGGGGAAGAGACCGUUCUCUCUAGUUCCCAUAGGUCGCUGGAGUUCAACUUCAUCCUCAGCAGGAGAAUGAGGCUAGGAAGUGCCGUGGAACAACCUUGGGACACUGUGUGUAUUGCUGUCAUCGUUAAUAAAAAGCUGACUGCCCAAAGAGCUGGGCAGGAAGAAAUUGGUCGAGGCGGCCUGACCCAGAGAGAAUGCUGGGAGGAAGAAGGGUGGAAUCUGGACUCACAGCAGAUGCAGAGGGAGCAGGCGAUGACCGUGCCAUGCUAAUAAGGUAUGUAUUUUGACCCUGUUUGUGUGGUCAGAAACAGGAUUUGUGUCUUGUGGCUGUGAAUCCUGAUCAGCUGAGCUUUCUGGUCAAGAGAAGAUGCUCUGAACGGAACCUAGAACAGAGAGAGAUGUGACAGCUCUGAUGGAGCCCUAAGGAGCAUCUGUGGAGGGACUGUCGGGUGCUACAUUUAGUUUUCAACUGAUAAACCAGCUGGUCCAUUUUACUUAUUAAAAAGCGUGACCCGAAGAGUACAUCAUCUAUCUGACAAUCUAUUUAUCUACCUGUCAUCUUCUAUUUACUUAUUGUAAAGAUGGGGUCUCAGUUUGCAGACCUGACUGACUUGGAAUUUGCUGUGUAGACCAGCCUGGCCUUGAACUCAUAAAAAGAUCCUCCUGCCUCUGCCUCCAGUAGUCACAGAUAAUUCCAGGUAAUUUUUCUUACUGGCUAAUUUUAGAAUAGAUUCUGUGUUGGAUAAAAGCUUAUGAAGUAUAUGUGACUAAUAUCUACUGAGAUUAAAAAACUGGUAUUUAAAAAAUUGGUGUGAGUUCAUUAAAAUCAACUAUAAAUCAUUACAAAACAGGAAUUAGAAAUGGUUUGAUUCCAAAGACCAUAUUGUUUACCAGCAUUGACGCCAACUCUUUAAGAUGAAGAAAACAAUUGAUAAAUUUAUUAUAUGGCAUUUGAAAUCGGUUUUAUUAACUCCAAAUAAGAGCAAACAACACUAACCACAUUUCAGAGUUCUAUAUUGUUCUGUGUCCAUGUAGAAUAUUCUAGGCAGCAUGACAGUUGUGUCAUUAGCAAGAAAAAACAUCCCAGGGAGUAGAGCACACAACAAAUUGUAAAUAUUCGAGUUUACUGGAAACUUCUCAGUUGGAAUGUGCAUCCCAACUGAGGUUUAAAAAAAAAUAGAAGUGUUAGGUAAUAGUGGGUGAACCCACACCCAUAAAAUAGUUUCGUCCCUAAAUCACUACCAAUUCAGAAUGCAUCUAGAACAAGGACUAACACCUCUUCGCCAUCAAAAUUCGGGUCUCUUCCUCAAAGAGUCAAGGUUAUCAUUGUACGUACACCACAGAGAGAAAAGACAAUUUGGUUCGCUAUCAAUUUUUGCUCUGUUUAAUUUUUAGAUACUGAAUUUGAGUCCCUCUAUCAAAUACUGUCUUGAUUUAACCUGUGGGAUAUCACAGACUCUGGGGUUGAUGGGUUCACACGAGGAUUGACUGGCGAGCACUGAGGACACUUUGGACACAUUUUAUGUGGCUGCUGACUUUUCAGUGUUGGACUGGCACGAACUGGUCCUGACCUGACCCAUGAUAAAUGCUCCAGCGUGGCUUUAUCCAGAAGCAGAGGAUUUCAGCCCUGGAGGGCAUUUCCCUUGAGUCUUAAGUUUCUGUGGUUCCAAAAUGGAUGUCACAAGAUUUGGGAAACUGACUAGAUUUGAUCCUGGGAGGCCAUUUUUGCAGGUCAAAAGGCAACCCUGGAAUCCACUCCCCACAUCAGCUGUCAGGGUCAAUCCCUAAGAAAAGGCUUUUCUCAGCUAGGAAGGAAAUGCAGAACCAAGGAGUAAGAAGAGCAAAAACGUUUCUCUUUGCGGGCUUAUUUCAUUACAUUGUUGCACAAACCAGCCCUUCUCUGAAAAUCCCUGCUGGCCAAACGCUUCCUGCUGCUUACAGUGUUGCAUAAACUUGCCAGGUACAAAUUAAGUAAUUAAUCAGCCUUAGGAGAAGCAAUAGCGGUGUCUUUCAGACCACAGUCAAGCCCGCACUCCGUGCUGGUGUCCUAUCCGCAGGCUGGGCUGCUGAGAGGGUGUAGAGGUUGCAGGCAGACCAGUUGCUGCUCCCAGGAGUCCACUCCCGCCUUCACAAUGUGGACAACUGAGGUCUUGAAAAUUCUGGCGGGAGAAGCUGAGCACCUCCAUACACCUCCAUGCACCUCCAUGCACCUCCAUGCACUUCCAUGCACCUCCAUGCACCUCUGUUCAGGCUGCAGGCAGGAAGCACAUUACUAUCCCACACUGGGAAAGGCACAAAGACAGCUGUACCACCAGGAAAUGCACCACCUCAACCCGUUAUUCAAAGGUCUCCAAGCUGCUGUGUUCUGGAUGGGCAGGAAAUGUUCCUUUGGUGUCCCUGGAUGUAAUGGAGAAUCUUAAAGAUGACUUCUGCACCACAGAAAGGUCUGUCAAGGAUGGAUGCUCUUGAUGGAAGACAGUAACUGAGGCUUGGAAAGUGCCCCCUCCCUCCGCCACCGCAAUUCAGCUAUGAAACUCAGGAAAUGAGGGAGGCACUGUUGCCUGUUCUAAAACUGGUAUUCACAUGCCUUUUCCAGUCAAACGCACUUUUAGCCUUGUGCUUAGUUUUUUUGCCCCUAACAACUGGGUCCUCACCGUGUCAUUUCAGUGACUCUUCCUGAGCGCAGCUUUCAGAGACGGUUAACAACACAAACAUGACACUUCCCCUUCACUUCCCGUUUUGAUGCUGGAGUGUAGCUGUCACAUUACUCCUGCCCGGGUGGACAGGAGAAAGAAGAGACAGGCGAAACUAAUCCACCCCAUUCUUUCGUUAACUCUACCUGGCCUCUGCUUGACCUGAAAACAAGAAUUUCAUGUGCCAGCCACCAAUCACGGCAGGUACAGCAAGAAGCGUGAGGACAGAACCCACAGGAAGGAAGAGCUAGCUCACUGACCUUUCAGCAGGAAACGCCCUCUGCUCUUUGACUGACAGCUCUGACUUCGGCCUCUGAAGUCUAUUUGUUUUGGCAGAAACUUAGAAUCUGGGUAACGCCAGUUUCCUCACCAUCUGGGAAUUCAGCUUAAUAUGUAAACUUGUAGCAAGCAGGUUGAGCCGAUUCGCUGCCAUGGUUACUCUUGGUGUGUGCUGCCGGCACACUUGAAGGGGAUGGAUUUGGUGUUGAGUCAGGGGACAUCGCCGUCAUACACGUGGACGUGCCUUUGCUUUCUGUCAUCUAUACCGUCUGCAUGCUGACGUUCUGUGCGUGUCCUGACCUCGAAGGGCUGUGAUCUGGAAACCGGUGACACCCAGCGCGGCUGGGGAGUUCUGCUCAGCUGCGCCGACUUCUAGUUUAAAAAAUGUGGGUGGGGUGGGGGUGUGCAAAUAAAGUGGCUGGAAAGGUUUUGUUUUCA